rnacentral:rRNA from 1 species
AGAGUUUGAUCAUGGCUCAGAUUGAACGCUGGCGGCAGGCCUAACACAUGCAAGUCGGACGGUAGCACAGAAGAGCUUGCUCUUCGGGUGACGAGUGGCGGACGGGUGAGUAAUGUCUGGGAAACUGCCUGAUGGAGGGGGAUAACUACUGGAAACGGUAGCUAAUACCGCAUAACCUCGCAAGAGCAAAGUGGGGGACCUUCGGGCCUCACGCCAUCGGAUGUGCCCAGAUGGGAUUAGCUAGUAGGUGGGGUAACGGCUCACCUAGGCGACGAUCCCUAGCUGGUCUGAGAGGAUGACCAGCCACACUGGAACUGAGACACGGUCCAGACUCCUACGGGAGGCAGCAGUGGGGAAUAUUGCACAAUGGGCGCAAGCCUGAUGCAGCCAUGCCGCGUGUAUGAAGAAGGCCUUCGGGUUGUAAAGUACUUUCAGCGGGGAGGAAGGCGGUGAGGUUAAUAACCUUACCGAUUGACGUUACCCGCAGAAGAAGCACCGGCUAACUCCGUGCCAGCAGCCGCGGUAAUACGGAGGGUGCAAGCGUUAAUCGGAAUUACUGGGCGUAAAGCGCACGCAUGCGGUCUGUCAAGUCAGAUGUGAAAUCCCCGGGCUUAACCUGUGAACUGCAUCUGGAACUGGCAGGCUAGAGUCUUGUAGAGGGGGGUAGAAUUCCAGGUGUAGCGGUGAAAUGCCUAGAGAUCUGGAGGAAUACCGGUGGCGAA